rnacentral:lncRNA from 1 species
AAUAUCAAAGGUGAAUAUGGGCCCAUUCACCUGCCAUGUAUACCACAUAUAAUGCAUCUAUGGAAUGGUUACAUGCGCAAUUGUUAUUGACCCGCAGCUUGGCCGAUGCUUGCGAGGUAAAUCGCUCAGUAAUCUAACUUCGAGCAUAGUUUCCAGAUUCUCUACUCAAGACAGUUCAUCUUGAUAAGUUGGUUUAUAUUAAANNNNNNNN